rnacentral:rRNA from 1 species
AUGAACUAUAAUAUGCAAGGGAUGACGAAAAUGAUUCCCGAGCUCUUCGUGAUGCUGAAAUCGGCGAAGCUAGAAAUCAAGAAAGAACAUCAAAUGUUGAUGGUUAACAAGACCACUAGUUUCAAGAAAAAGGGUAAAAGGGAAAGAAAGGGAACUUCAAGAAGAAUGGCAAGCAAGUUGCCACUCCCGGAAAGAAGCCCAAAGUUGGACCCAAGCCUGAAACUGAGUGCUUCUACUGCAAAGGGACUGGUCACUAGAAGCGAAACUGCCCCAAGUAUUUGGAGGAUAAGAAGGAUGGCAAAGUGA